UGGUGGAGCGAUUUGUCUGGCUAAUUCCGAUAACGAACGAGACUCUGGCCUAUUAAAUAGUUCGCCGAUUCCGAUCUGUCGACGUUAACUUCUUAGAGGGACAAGUGGCUUUUAGCCACGCGAGGUUGAGCAAUAACA
rnacentral:rRNA from 1 species